CGGCCAUAAUAUGUCAAAAUUUUAUUCAACUGAAGAUGAAGAGGGUGGGGUAAAGUUACAAUGAGGGACCAUAAUUAGGUGAUUCCCCAUUUCAAUUAGGAAAAAUAAAACUAAAAUUAAGGGAUUAGAGGGAGGAAGGAAGAGGAUGAAGGCGUAUGGAGCUGGGAACCAAAAGCUGAAACCAAGACUCCAUCCUGUCAUAUAUACAAAAGCUGAUAAUAGAGAAAGCACAAGGCAUUGGCUUUAUGUUGGUAUUAGAGCUAAUAUUUGGGUCUUGAUUCUUCCCAUGCACAUUUGUAUCUCUCUAUAUAUUGGCUGAUUUUGAGGGCAGUAUGGAUGCAAGCUAGUGACAGCAGAAUCAAUUAUCUGUGCCACAUCAGCUGGAGGAUAUUGUCGUUCGGUACAUGUCUGUAUCAUGAGCAAAGUAGCAACACAUGAUGUUAUAAGCUCUUCAGGGAUUGCUGCUUCAAUUUUGUCAGCAUUAUUUUGGGAUUUAGGCCCAGAUGCAUUACCAUUAACUUGGGCCUCCAAUGUGCUGGAAAUCAACUGAUCAUGAUCGUUUAAAAUGCCAUUGACAUGCUCUGGAGACCUGAUUACUUGUGCCUUCGGUUCUGAUGCUAAUUGUCCUUUAUCAAUAGAAUCUAAAGCCUCCCCAAUCUUCACGAAAGCAUCUUCCCCUUCUUUCAUUGAUGAAAUCGCCUGAACAGCAGCAUCUAUCAUUGUGUGUGCUUUGUGUCUGGAACCUCCAACGAUUUCAAUGACGGUACUAGAUCCAGAUUCUUGAGAAACAAAAAUAUCAUGAGAACUUGGCGGGCCAGCCAGGAAAUUGGAAUUGACAGGGGGCUUCAGCCAAGGAGGCAGGGUAUUCCCUGGGCAUGUAUUGUGUUGCCUCAAAUUGACUAAAGCAGAAGAGGCCUUUUUAUCAAGAGCAUGAUUCAACUCAGAAAGAGCUUGUACAUCAGCUUCCUUCACUUCGAGUUGUGACACCACAGAAGGUUGACUAGCUAUUUGUUGUGCAUUAACAAUGUCAAUAGAUGCUGCCUUUGAUUGUUGGUGGUUUGCAUCCACCUGCUUUACCAAUGUAUUCAUGGGAAUCCGUAAGUUGUCUAAACGCCUUGGUGAAGUAAACCCUCCAAUAUGUGAAUGCCCAUUCACUUGCAGUUCCUUGGAUGCAACAGAGAAUCGACCUCUCCGAAGAGCUUCUGGCAUGUUAUCGAAUGGAUUUGAAGGCAUGCAGUCUAUAUCCUUGACAAAUUCCACUCCCAUCUCAGGACAGUCAAAUUGAACUCUGCACCUGUCAUGAUCAAUUGUGAGCACACUUCCAUCAUGAAGUUCUCUUGUUUUGGGAUGCACAGCAAUUACUCGCUGUCCAACUGAUAAAGGUCUUGCUAAAUCAGUUGGAAGUCCAUCCAUGAUACCAGUACGAAGUUCAGUAUAAUGUUUUCUCACAGAAUCCCUAUACUGCUUCAGUUUCUCCCUUUCUUCAUGUAAAAAAUGUUCAGAGAAUCUUCUAGGUUUGCCCAGGGAACUUCUUAUGACACCCCAUUCAACACGAGUUAA
rnacentral:misc_RNA from 1 species